UCUGUCUACGGCCGUAUCACUCUGAAUGCACUUGAGCAUGUCUGAUCACAAAAGUCAAGCAGAGUCCAGCCUGGUGAGUUCUUAGUGAGUACUCACUAAAUUGUCUGGAUUGGAUGGAA
rnacentral:rRNA from 1 species